UUCACCAAUUUGUUGAUAUAAAAGUAAAAUGUUAUAUCUCAAUGAGAGCACUAAAAGUGAGAGAAAAAAGAUCGGGAAAAAAGAGAGGGAUUGAUGCACAAAAGGACGAGAGAGAGAUCACAAAGUGAUAGCUAAAAAGACUAAAUUUGAAAGGUAAUGACAUAACAUUGUACACGUUUUCUGCAAGAAUCUUACUACGAGGGAUUUGUUUUUAGAAACCAGUGCAAACAACUGGAAAAACACACGCACACGAAGCAGUGCAACGGUUGCAGCAAAUUAAAAAGAAAAGAAAGAGAGGAUAUAAAUGUAUAUAAAUAUA